rnacentral:lncRNA from 10 species
AUGCCUUCUUCUGGAAUACCUCUUGAAGGACCUGCCAGAGGCGUAGAUUUAUUUACAACAGCAUCACCAGAAACACAUGAGAAUGCUUUAUGCCAUGUCUUUAAAACAGCUACCACAGUAUCACUAGGUGAUAGGACAUUUUCCACUCCAUUAUAAUUUUAUGGAGAUCAUUGUGCGUGGUGCAUGGCUGUGUUUGUGUGCACGUCUCACCCUCUCUUAAGAGCACAAAGAGCCUUCCUUUUUUAUUCUUUUGUCCCUUAUAGCACUUAGCACAGUACCUUGCAUUUUACCAUCAGUAAUAACAAAAACAACAAUAAAUUUAGCCCAGGGUUCACUGCAAAAAAGAACAAAAGAUCAAUCUAAAGAUGUGAUUUUAAUUAAUACGUAGGUGUGGGAAAUGCUACUGCCUGUGUCUUACAUGAUGUUAUCUACGUCAUUGGUGGCCACUGUGGCUACAGAGGAAGCUGCACCUAUGACAAAGUUCAGAGCUACAAUUCCGAUAUCAACGAAUGGAGCCUCAUCACCUCCAGUCCACAUCCAGAAUAUGGAUUGUGCUCAGUUCCGUUUGAAAAUAAGCUCUAUCUAGUCGGCGGACAAACUACAAUCACAGAAUGCUAUGA